rnacentral:rRNA from 1 species
GCCCACUAGCUAGCUCGCCCAACAGCAUAACAUUCCAUAUAUAAAUACACAAAUACCAACAAAUAAACAAACAAACCAUUUUUCCACUCUAGUAUAGGUGAUAGAAAAAGAAAUUCGACGCAAUAGAGAAAGUACCGUAAGGGAACGCUGAAAGAGAAAUGAAACAACCCAGUAAAGCACAACAAAGCAGAGCUCACCCCUCGUACCUUUUGCAUCAUGUUUUAGCUAGAGCCCAUCAAGCAAAAAGCAUUGUAGUUUGACAACCCGAAACUAAGGGAGCUACUCCAAGACAGCCUAGUAAUAGGGCCAACCCGUCUCUGUGGCAAUAGAGUGGGAAGAGCUUUGAGUAGAGGUGACAGACCUAUCGAACUUAGUUAUAGCUGGUUACCUGAAAAUUGGAUAGAAGUUCAGCCUCUUGAGUUCCUCCCUCACCUUGAUAAUUUUCUAAGUGAGACCCCAAGAAGUCUAGAGAGUUAGUCAAAGGGGGUCCAGCCCCUUUGAAAGAAGAAACAACUUUUCUGGGUGGAUAAAGAUCAAAUUCAUUAAAGG